rnacentral:rRNA from 1 species
CCGCAUCUGUGCAUGCAGCAUAUCAAUAAGCGGAGGAAAAGAAACUAACAAGGAUUCCCUUAGUAACGGCGAGUGAAGCGGGAAGAGCUCAAAUUUGAAAUCUUCAAGGUUUUACCUUGACGAAUUGUAGUUUAAAGAAGUGUUUUCUAGUUGAAGUUUUGGUAAAAGUUCUUUGGAAUAGGACAUCAUAGAGGGUGAGAAUCCCGUAUUUGACCAUUAUUUUCAGCUGUGUGAUACACUUUCAAAGAGUCGGAUUGUUUGGGAAUGCAGUCCAAAAUGGGUGGUAAAUUUCAUCUAAAGCUAAAUAUUGGCGAGAGACCGAUAGCGAACAAGUACCGUGAGGGAAAGAUGAAAAGAACUUUGAAAAGAGAGUUAAACAGUACGUGAAAUUGUCAAAAGGGAAGCGUUUGACACCAGUGUUGUUUUCUCGAAAAUCAAUUAAAAAGAGUUAGAUUUUGUUGUGUAUUGACCUUAACAGCUUGCAUUUCAAUUUUCUUGCUUUUUUUAAUGCACUUUUCGUUUAACAAGUCAACAUCAGUUUCUUUUGUUGUAAAAAGGUCAUUGGAAGGUGGCUUUCUUUUCGGAGAAAGUGUUUAUAGCCUUUGACUCCUGCAAUCGGAGAGACUGAGGUCUGCAGCGUAGAUCCUUCGGGGUUAGAUACAUUUGUGCUAAGUUAUAGCUUUUUAUAGACAACUUGUUGACUAUGAUUAGUCUUGUAGCUUACUCGCUUAUGCUACUUUUACCUACGCUUAGGAUGUUGAACUCUAUCACACACAG